UACACUGAGAAGUGUCAAGUCAGUUUCCC
rnacentral:piRNA from 1 species